UAGGGAAUCUUCCGCAAUGGACGAAAGUCUGACGGAGCAACGCCGCGUGAGUGAAGAAGGAUUUCGGUUCGUAAAACUCUGUUGUUAGGGAAGAAAAAAUGUAUAGUAACUAUAUACAAAAGAGACGGUACCUAACCAGAAAGCCACGGCUAACUACGUGCCAGCAGCCGCGGUAAUACGUAGGUGGCAAGCGUUGUCCGGAAUUAUUGGGCGUAAAGCGCGCGCAGGUGGUUUAGAAAGUCUGAUGUGAAAGCCCACGGCUCAACCGUGGAGGUGCAUUGGAAACUAAUAAACUUGAGUGCAGGAGAGAAAAGUGGAAUUCCUAGUGUAGCGGUGAAAUGCGUAGAGAUUAGGAGGAACACCGGUGGCGAAAGCGGCUUUUUGGCCUGCAACUGACACUGAGGCGCGAAAGCGUGGGGAGCAAACAGG
rnacentral:rRNA from 1 species